CGCCAGGUCUGAGAUCUGAAUCUGGGCAAAAGCUGCGGGGUUUUUUACUAUUCCCUGAGCCUAUUAUAUUAUCUUAUCAAUUAUUCCUUAUACAAACAGUUUUCCUUUAGCCCUCUGCCAUCCUAGUUCGUCUUCGCUGGAGCUGUACGCUCUCUCGCGCUCUCUCUCUGGACCACUAGCUGCAGCACCAGUGCCUUCUGUUUUGCAGAGGGGCUUUUAGGAUCGGCUGUACAAAGCUAGAGAAGUAGGGGGGAGGCAAAGAACUGGAUCUGUAAGGCCCAUUGAAAGCGUCACCAACAAACCCCUCCCCUGGCGGAAGUCUCCCUCCCCACAGCACCUCCUAGGUCCGCCCGGCCAGUAGUGAACUGUAGCUAAAGCUCCCCCACCAAGGGUCCUUUAUUAAAAAAGACCAGAAUGGCCGCAUAAUUCUUACUAUAACUGGGGGUCAGUGUGUUUGAACCGACCGCACUGUAUAAAUUAACAGACAUUGGGCAAAAUCCACGAAAAAUUGACUUGCGUCCAUCACUGCAAAUCUCUCUCUCUCUCUCUCUCUCUGUAUAUAUACGUGUGUGUGUUAUACAGGCAAAUAAAUAGCUUUGUGGUUAAGUGAAAUGUUACAAUACAGCCAGGGAAAAAGCAAUAAACUGGUCUGCAACCAGGAAAUGCAAGCA